UACAGGGGGGGCAAGCGUUGUUCGGAAUUACUGGGCGUAAAGGGCUCGUAGGUGGCCAACUAAGUCAGACGUGAAAUCCCUCAGCUUAACUGGGGAACUGCGUCUGAUACUGGAUGGCUUGAGUUUGGGAGAGGGAUGCGGAAUUCCAGGUGUAGCGGUGAAAUGCGUAGAUAUCAUGAGGAAGACCAGUGGCGAAGGCGGGUCUCUGGACAGUUCCUGACACUGAGACACGAAGGCCAGGGGAGCAAACGGG
rnacentral:rRNA from 1 species